GAGAUACUAGUAAAAUUUUACAUAACUUUGUCAAAGUUAAAUUAUAGGUUAAAAUCCUUUGUGUCUCC
rnacentral:tRNA from 2 species